rnacentral:lncRNA from 1 species
GUUUUCAAAAACGUUGAUUCUGACUAGUCAUUCCCCCACAUAGGACAGUAUAAUAAAAAGAUUUAAGCACUAAAGUAUAACUGAUUCCAUAAAAAAUUAUUUUAAAACAUAAAGUGGUGUGAAAAUUAAGUGAGAGUCAAAGGUCUCUUAGUGAAUUCUUAUCUAAAACGUGAAAGUUUGGUGACAUAUCCCAGUGGUGCUGAUGAAAGUAUCAAAAGCAUGUUAGGGUAAUUUUUUUUAAAGUUUUUUUUUUUUUUUUUUUUACUUUUAAAACUUUCUACGUAGCACUUUGCUCAGGAGAGG